rnacentral:rRNA from 1 species
UACGGGGGGGGCAAGCGUUGUUCGGAAUUACUGGGCGUAAAGGGCUCGUAGGUGGCCAACUAAGUCAGACGUGAAAUCCCCAGGCUUAACCUGGGAACUGCGUCUGAUACUGGAUGGCUUGAAUUCGGGAGAGGGAUGCAGAAUUCCAGGUGUAGCGGUGAAAUGCGUAGAUAUCUGGAGGAAUACCGGUGGCGAAGGCGGCAUCCUGGACCGAGAUUGACACUGAUGGGCGAAAGCCAGGGGAGCAAACGGG